rnacentral:lncRNA from 10 species
GUGGUGGCAGAUGUCUGUAAUCCCAGCUACUCGGGAGGCUGAGGCAAGAGAAUUGCUUAAACCCCGGGAGGUGGAGGUUGCAGUGAGCCGAGAUGGCGACACUGCACUCCAGCCUGGGUGCCAGAGCGAGACUCUUUGUCUCAAAAAAAAAAAAAAAAAAAAAGAAAAGAAAAGAAAAGAAAAAAAAAGCUAAAAUAAAAAUUUCGGGGAAAAAAAUUUAGGGAUAAAACCUUGG